rnacentral:rRNA from 1 species
UACGGAAGGGGGCUAGCGUUGCUCGGAAUCACUGGGCGUAAAGGGUGCGUAGGCGGGUCUUUAAGUCAGGGGUGAAAUCCUGGAGCUCAACUCCAGAACUGCCUUUGAUACUGAAGAUCUUGAGUUCGGGAGAGGUGAGUGGAACUGCGAGUGUAGAGGUGAAAUUCGUAGAUAUUCGCAAGAACACCAGUGGCGAAGGCGGCCAACUGGACCAUUACUGACGCUGAGGCGCGAAAGCGUGGGGAGCGAACAGG